rnacentral:tRNA from 1 species
GAGGUUGUGGCUCAGUGGUAGAGUGCUUGCCUAGUGUGUGUGAGACACUGGGUUUGAUCCUCAGCACCACA